GACAGAGGGUGCAAACGUUGUUCGGAAUUACUGGGCGUAAAGCGUGCGUAGGUGGUGAGUUAAGUCUGUCGUGAAAGCCCCGGGCUCAACCUGGGAAUGGCGAUGGAUACUGGCUCGCUAGAGUGCGGUAGAGGGUGGUGGAAUUCCCGGUGUAGCAGUGAAAUGCGUAGAGAUCGGGAGGAACAUCAGUUGCGAAGGCGGCCACCUGGACCAGCACUGACACUGAGGCACGAAAGCGUGGGGAGCAAACAGG
rnacentral:rRNA from 1 species